CUGUGGUGCUGCAGCUAUUUGAAAGCCAAGACCAGGAGAUGCAUCAGCUGAAGCUGGAUGUGGCCCAGCUGCUCGCGGGGAUGGGUCAGCUGAAGUUCAUGGAGGAGGAAAAGCUGGGAAAGGUGGAGCAGCUCAGAAUACAGAGCUCUGAGGUGUUGCAGCGAUUUGAAAGCCGAGAACGGGAGAUGCAUCGGCUGAAGCUGAAGGUGUCCCAGUUGGUGGCGGGGAUGGCUCAG